ACGCACGCUGGCGGCGUGCCUCAUACAUGCAAGUAGCACGCUGAAGAGAGGAGCUUGCUCUUCUUGGAUGAGUUGCGAACGGGUGAGUAACGCGUAGGUAACCUGCCUUGUAGCGGGGGAUAACUAUUGGAAACGAUAGCUAAUACCGCAUAACAAUGGAUGACACAUGUCAUUUAUUUGAAAGGGGCAAUUGUUCCACUACAAGAUGGACCUGCGUUGUAUUAGCUAGUAGGUGAGGUAAUGGCUCACCUAGGCGACGAUACAUAGCCGACCUGGGAGGGUGAUCGGCCACACUGGGAAUGAGACACGGCCCAGACUCCUACGGGAGGCAGCAGUAGGGAAUCUUCGGCAAUGGGGGCAACACUGACCGAGCAACGCCGCGUGAGUGAAGAAGGUUUUCGGAUCGUAAAGCUCUGUUGUAAGUCAAGAACGGGUGUGAGAGUGGAAAGUUCACACUGUGACGGUAGCUUACCAGAAAGGGACGGCUAACUACGUG
rnacentral:rRNA from 1 species